UCGAUGCGACCUGCCGGAUGGGUGAUGCGUGCCGCCACAUAGGCCCAGUACUCUUCAAUACAGAAGGAGCGAAACGCCUGCAGAAGGAGGGCAGGACGUGACCCAGAAGGCAGCGAGUCCAACUUAGGCUAACAGUGGUCUUUAGCGUGCGCAACAAGUCUUGAAAAAUUGUUGAUGUAACUGCGCGCGGACCCCAUCGCCUCGAGUCUCGCUCGCCACGUGCUGAGCCAACAUGACGUCCCGUCCCAUUGUCCAUAUUGAUGAGGGAGUCCUGCCAAAAACCGACCUGUGGAGAUGGAUAUCUCAGCUAAAUUGUCGCCCGGGAAGGAGCGAGGGUGAUGAUAAGCUGCACUGAGAGAGCAGGUGCUCCAGGGGUCUGCUUCAGCACUUCGGUAAGGUGCUGAUCAAGAAGGAUGGGCCCGCCACUCUGAAACUUCCAUAUGGGGAGUAUAUUAAUUGUGAGGGGCCACGUCAACCUCUGACUUCACAUCACAUCACAUCAGAUCACUGUAAUGAAGUCUGAGUCACAUGGCAAACUGUUAGACACAUGGCUCAACAGACACACAAAGUUCAGUCAGCUUUUGUUACAGCGUAGGCACACCCCCCUCACCUUGCUCUGUAGUCCAAAUAUCACUAUGAAAUGAAAGACUUUGCAUGCAAACCUAAAACAAAAAUAGAUAUAUCGUGCAUGUUACGUCUCUUAUCAAGUUUGGAUUGUUUUUGCCAGCAUUCACAUUUAUAACCAUUCAUAACCGAUUAUCAUGUGUUGUGAUGCAUUUCUGUGAACAAUGUAGAGGAUGAAGAGAGAAUUCUUCAUCAUGCAUUAUGCAAACAAAUCUGCUCAGAGGAUUUUUAAUGUUCCAAAAAUGGUGGAAACAGUAUUUGGCUUUCAUUUUCAUGUCUCACUUCAGGAUGUCUUUAUUCUCGGGAACCAACUGUAAGCCACACAUGUUUAAGAGCCUUUGCCAAUCACUGAUCAAGUGUGAUAACAUGACAAUAUCAGCCUCA